GGACCCGUGGCCUAGCCCGGAUAAGGCACCGGCUUUCUAAGCCGAGGAUCGAGGGUUCGAAUCCCUCCGGGUCCG
rnacentral:tRNA from 1 species